UGCUUCUCGCUAAAAUAUGAGAAGUAAUUCCUGCCCAGUGACUUAGUUCAACGGCCGCGGUAUCCUAACCGUGCAAAGGUAGCAUAAUCACUUGCCCAUUAAUUGUGGGCUAGAAUGAAAGGACUAACGAAAUAAAAACUGUCUCUGUAAGCCUAAUAAAAAUUAAUCUCUAACUGAAGAGUGUUAGAUACCGUCGAAGGACAAGAAGACCCUAUAGAGCUUUAUUUUAACAAAAUCCAAAAAUUUUCAAUAAAAUUCGGUUGGGGCGACCAGGGAAUAUAAAUCAUCCCCUAUAAACAGAUAACUUAAUCUAGACUCUGACCCUUAAACAAGAUCAACAAAUCAAGCUACCUUAGGGAUAACAGGCUAAUCCCGCUAAAGAGUCCUUAUCAAUAGUGGGGGUUGGCACCUCGAUGUUGGCUUAGGGAAUCUAUGCGGCGCAAAAGUCGCAUAAAGAUGGUUUGUUCAA
rnacentral:rRNA from 1 species